CCUACGGGUGGCAGCAGUGGGGAAUAUUGGGCAAUGGGCGCAAGCCUGACCCAGCAACGCCGCGUGAAGGAAGAAGGCUUUCGGGUUGUAAACUUCUUUUGUCAGGGAAGAGUAGAAGACGGUACCUGACGAAUAAGGCCCGGCUAACUACGUGCCAGCAGCCGCCGGAAUACGUAGGUGGCAAGCGUUAUCCGGAUUUACUGGGUGUAAGGGGCGUGUAGGCGGGUUGGCAAGUCAGAUGUGAAAUCCUUGGGCUUAACCUGAGGACUGCAUUUGAAACUGUUGAUCUUGAGUACUGGAGAGGCAGACGGAAUUCCUAGUGUAGCGGUGAAAUGCGUAGAUAUUAGGAGGAACACCAGUGGCGAAGGCGGUCUGCUGGACAGCAACUGACGGUGAGGCGCGAAAGCGUGGGGAGCAAACAGGAUUAGAUACCCCUGUAGUC
rnacentral:rRNA from 1 species